AUUGAACGCUGGCGGCAUGCCUUACACAUGCAAGUCGAACGGUAACGGGCCUUCGGGUGCCGACGAGUGGCGAACGGGUGAGUAAUGCAUCGGAACGUACCUUUCAGUGGGGGAUAACGUAGCGAAAGUUACGCUAAUACCGCAUAUUCUGUGAGCAGGAAAGCAGGGGAUCGCAAGACCUUGCGCUGAUUGAGCGGCCGAUGUCAGAUUAGCUAGUUGGUGAGGUAAAGGCUCACCAAGGCGACGAUCUGUAGCGGGUCUGAGAGGAUGAUCCGCCACACUGGAACUGAGACACGGUCCAGACUCCUACGGGAGGCAGCAGUGGGGGAAUUUUUGGACAAUGGGGGGCAACCCUGAUCCAGCCAUUCCGCGUGAGUGAAGAAGGCCUUCGGGUUGUAAGACUCUUUCGCAAGGAAGAAACUUAAUCUCCUAAUACGAGGUGAGGUUGACGGUACCUUGAUAAGAAGCACCGGCUAACUACGUGCCAGCAGCCGCGGUAAU
rnacentral:rRNA from 1 species